AUGGUGAAUUCAGCGAAGCCACCGACCGAGCCUCCCUUGUCAGAUCCCGCGAUCGAAGGUGGCGUUGGGGAUGGGAGGGGCACUCCUGCAGAGGCUGUGACGGCUUCAUUAGGUGUCCACCAUGGCACGCCGUCGUCGCUCCCAUCGACACUCAAGACGUGUGGGAGCCAAGGAUUGCUGCGGUCCACUCCCGUCAACCGUGUCGGCGAAGCAGUCGCCCCGACCAUGGGCACCUCCUCGCAAGAUCUGGACGAGGUCAACCAGAGGCUACAGCUCGGCCUCGAUGAAGUGACCGCAGCACCGGGCGUUGGCAAGCCUGCGGAACACGAGUCCCCUAAUGUCGCUGAGGCGGUUUCUUCGCGGCCGUUGAAGGCGCAUACCCACCGCCGCCCUGCUAUGUCGUCCCAAGCAGAAGUGGUAUCCAUGAGCGCGCUACCACAGGCGUCCGAGCGCAAGCGACGUUCGGUCCGCGCCGAUGCACUCGACAGGCCACGGUUCUCCGUGACGCUCUCCGCGGAAGAGAUCGAGGAAGACAUAUACGCCCUCACCGGCGCGCUGCCGCGCAGCCGCCCUCGCCACCGCCCACCCGUAGUGCAGAAUCAGCUCAACUGCUACUUCCCGGCGCGCGGUUAUCGGAGAUCAACGCGGAGUCCUACCGGGUGCCGGAUGAUCACUGAGUCUCUCAACUCACCAAGCAUCGUCGCCCAACAGUAA
rnacentral:rRNA from 1 species